GAUGUAGACCACGGGAAGCCUACAACUCACGUAGUUUCGGUUCCCUGCAAGAAUUUCCGAAGAUUUCCGAAGUUUUGCGUUUUGGUAUUAACGCCACUUCAGCCGCUAAAUCAGAAGUUUCCAAUGAAAACAAGCAUGUUGUGACUGCCGGCGUCCUGGUCUCCAGUCCCGUGCGAGCCACCUUCGAGGCUAGACGCGGCCGCAAGACGCUCCAUAAACUCGCCGCUAUUAUCGCUUUUGGGUUCUGUUCUAUAGUGUGUUAUAAUCUCUUUUAUCGUUUUCUUUACCGUGUGCGUGAGUGUUGUUUUGUAUCCGGCGUGUCCGCGGGCCAAAACACGUGGACUAACACUAGCCUGCACCGCACAUUUCUCCAGCGCGCGAGACGUCCCUCGGCAGCUGCACGGGCCGGACGGUCCACCCCUGCCUCCCCGCAGGAGGCUGCUCUACGCGAGAGAACUGGCGCCGGGCAAUACAAGAAAACGGCCGAGAGACAUCCGCCACGUCUCCACGUAUUCUACGAAGACGGGUGCCCGCCGGCAGGGUGUUGAGGGCGAAGGACACGACGCGCGGGGGCUUGCGGUGCAGCGGGCUGAACUCCCGCUCGUGGGUCAGCAGCCUCAGCAGCCGGGGGUCGGCGUACAUGGGCAGGUGCUCAGCGCUCUCGCCGAGGUAUCGGGCCAGCCGCCGGGCCAGCUCGCUGUCGCAGCAGGGCGCCUCCGCGAGCGCCCUCGCCCCCGCCGGCUGCAACAGGGGCGCGCUCGGUCCCUCGGUGCCCCGCUACGCCCCUGCCCUUCUUCCAGACACACCUUUAGUAGCCCCGCUGUUUCCAGUUGAAUAGGGUGUGAACAUUACCCAUUUAGGGUUAUUACGCCCCUGUCGUGGUUGCCUCUUUGUAACAACACGUGGACUUUGAGACACACGUCUAGUAGCCUCGCUGUUUCCAGUUGAAUAGGAUGUGAACAUUACCCAUUUAGGGUUGUUACGCCCCUGUCGUGGUUGCCUCUUUGUAACAACACGUGGACUUUGAGACACACGUUUAGUAGCCCAGCUGUUUCGAGUACAGGUAAUAGUUGAAUAGGAUGUGAACAUUACCAUUUAGGGCUAUUUUACUGGUUAUUUUAAGCUUGUGUGCAAAUUACGAGAUGGGGCUAGCUUCCAGCUGAUAAUAAAACUAAGCUUAAUGCCUACUAUGCAAGCCAGGAUAAAUUUUCUGUUUCAUACAGCAGCCGAGAAUAAUCUUAAGUAUCACUUGUCUAUGUUGAAAAUGUUAAUGAUAAAUUGCUAUCUGAAAACAAAAUACUAAGUACAUUUGAAACUUUUUCUUCGGAUAAGUAAUUUUCUGUGAUGCUGAUAUUUUAGAAUAAAAUGUCAAUUGCUAUGAUAAUUCUGACUUGUUUGCAAAUACAUAAUUGCAUAAGAA